rnacentral:rRNA from 1 species
GAUCAUGGCUCAGGAUUAACGCUGGCGGCGUGCAUAACACAUUCAAGUCGAACGGACGAAGCCCUUCGGGGCCUAGUUAGUGGCGGACGGGUGAGUAACGCGUGAGCAACCUGCCCUUGUGUGGGGGAUAACGACUGGAAACGGUCGCUAAUACCGCAUGACCCGAUAGUACCGCAUGGUACAGUCGGCAAAGAUUUAUUGCACAGGGAUGGGCUCGCGUCUGAUUAGGCAGUUGGUGAGGCAACGGCUCACCAAACCUACGAUCAGUAGCCGGACUGAGAGGUUGAACGGCCACAUUGGAACUGAGAUACGGUCCAGACUCCUACGGGAGGCAGCAGUGGGGAAUAUUGGGCAAUGGAACCGAAAGUCUGACCCAGCGACGCCGCGUGAGGGAAGAAGGUCUUCGGAUUGUAAACCUUAAACAACAGGGACGAAGCAGUGACGGUACCUGUUAGGAAGCCACGGCUAACUACGUGCCAGCCGCGGC